rnacentral:snoRNA from 1 species
UUCCAAAAAUGAGAAAAGCCUCUUUUCCCCAUGGGGGUCUGGUGUGCAAUGGCUGCAAGCAGCAGCCCUCUUGGUAGUACAUGUAGCCUGCUG